rnacentral:lncRNA from 1 species
AUAUCAUGUCACUUAUGAAUUGCAUGUGAUGUUAAUCCUUUUAUGCACCUUAUCUUGCUUAGAACGACGGUAACAUUAUAAGGUGAUACCUCACUAAAAUUUCAAGAUAAAAUUGUGUUAUCCCCGACUGUGCACCGUUGCGACAGUUCGUCAUUUCGAGACACCACGUGAUGAUCGGGUGUGAUAGACUCAAUGUUCACAUACAACGGGUGCAAAACAGUUGCACAUGCGGAAACUCGGGUUAAACUUGAUGAGCCUAGCAUGUACAGACAUGG